rnacentral:rRNA from 1 species
AGGACGAACGCUGGCGGCGUGCUUAACACAUGCAAGUCGAACGGAAAGGCCCUGCUUUUGUGGGGUGCUCGAGUGACGAACGGGUGAGUAACACGUGAGUAACCUGCCCUUGACUUUGGGAUAACUUCAGGAAACUGGGGCUAAUACCGGAUAGGAGCUCCUGCUGCAUGGUGGGGGUUGGAAAGUUUCGGCGGUUGGGGAUGGACUCGCGGCUUAUCAGCUUGUUGGUGGGGUAGUGGCUUACCAAGGCUUUGACGGGUAGCCGGCCUGAGAGGGUGACCGGCCACAUUGGGACUGAGAUACGGCCCAGACUCCUACGGGAGGCAGCAGUGGGGAAUAUUGCACAAUGGGCGGAAGCCUGAUGCAGCAACGCCGCGUGCGGGAUGACGGCCUUCGGGUUGUAAACCGCUUUCGCCUGUGACGAAGCGUGAGUGACGGUAAUGGGUAAAGAAGCACCGGCUAACUACGUGCCAGCAGCCGCGGUGAUACGUAAGGUGCGAGCGUUGUCCGGAUUUAUUGGGCGUAAAGGGCUCGUAGGUGGUUGAUCGCGUCGGAAGUGUAAUCUUGCGGCUUAACCCUGAGCGUGCUUUCGAUACGGGUUGACUUGAGGAAGGUAGGGGAGAAUGGAAUUCCUGGUGGAGCGGUGGAAUGCGCAGAUAUCAGGAGGAACACCAGUGGCGAAGGCGGUUCUCUGGGCCUUUCCUGACGCUGAGGAGCGAAAGCGUGGGGAGCGAACAGGCUUAGAUACCCUGGUAGUCCACGCUGUAAGCGGUGGGUACUAGGUGUGGGGUCCAUUCCACGGGUUCCGUGCCGUAGCUAACGCUUUAAGUACCCCGCCUGGGGAGUACGGCCGCAAGGCUAAAACUCAAAGGAAUUGACGGGGCCCCGCACAAGCGGCGGAGCAUGCGGAUUAAUUCGAUGCAACGCGUAGAACCUUACCUGGGUUUGACAUGGAUCGGGAGUGCUCAGAGAUGGGUGUGCCUCUUUUGGGGUCGGUUCACAGGUGGUGCAUGGCUGUCGUCAGCUCGUGUCGUGAGAUGUUGGGUUAAGUCCCGCAACGAGCGCAACCCUUGUUCACUGUUGCCAGCACGUUAUGGUGGGGACUCAGUGGAGACCGCCGGGGUCAACUCGGAGGAAGGUGGGGAUGACGUCAAGUCAUCAUGCCCCCUAUGUCCAGGGCUUCACGCAUGCUACAAUGGCUGGUACAGAGAGUGGCGAGCCUGUGAGGGUGAGCGAAUCCCGGAAAGCCGGUCUCAGUUCGGAUUGGGGUCUGCAACUCGACCUCAUGAAGUCGGAGUCGCUAGUAAUCGCAGAUCAGCAACGCUGCGGUGAAUACGUUCCCGGGGCUUGUACACACCGCCCGUCAAGUCAUGAAAGUUGGUAACACCCGAAGCCGGAGGCCUAACCGUUGUGGGGGAGCCGUCGAAGGUG